rnacentral:rRNA from 1 species
UUCCGGUUGAUCCUGCCGGAGGCUACCGCUAUUGGAGUUCGAUUAAGCCAUGCGAGUCUAGAGGCCUAGCCUCGGCGUACCGCUCAGUAACACGUGGGUAACCUACCCUAUGCUGGGGAAUAAGCUCGGGAAACUGAGAAUAAUGCCCCAUAGUCCACUACGCCUGGAACGGUGAGUGGAUCAAAGCUCCGGCGGCAUAGGAUGGGCCUGCGGCGUAUCAGGUUGUAGGGGGUGUAAUGUACCCUCUAGCCAUCCACGCGUACGGGUGUUGGGAGACAUUGCCCGGAGAUGGAUUCUGAGACACGAAUCCAGACCCUACGGGGUGCAGCAGGCGCGAAAACUUGGCAAUGCGAGAAAUCGUGACCAGGGAACUCCAAGUGGCAGGGGUAAGACCCUGUCUUUUUCCGACUCUAAAUAGGUCGGCGAAUAAGGGGUGGGUAAGGACGGUGCCAGCCGCCGCGGUAAUACCGGCGCCUCAAGUGGUAGUCGCUUUUAUUGGGCCUAAAACGUCCGUAGCCGGUCUGGUACAUUCGUGGGUAAAUCAACUCGCUCAACGAGUUGAAUUCUGCGAGGACGGCCAGACUUGGGACCGGGAGAGGUGUGGGGUACUCUCAGGGUAGGGGUAAAAUCCUGUCAUCCUGAGAGGACCACCUGUUGCGAAGGCUCCACACUAGAACGGAUCCGACGGUCAGGGACGAAGCCUAGGGGCACGAACCGGAUUAGAUACCCGGGUAGUCCUAGGUGUAAACGCUGUGGACUUGAUGUUGGGGACGCUCCGAGCGUUCUCAGUGUCGAAGCGAAGGUGAUAAGUCCACUGCCUGGGGAGUACGGUCGCAAGGCUGAAACUUAAAGGAAUUGGCGGGGGAGCACCGCAACCUGAGGAUUGUGCGGUUUAAUUGGAUUCAACGCCGGA